UACGGGGGGGGGCAAGCGUUGUUCGGAAUUACUGGGCGUAAAGGGCUCGUAGGCGGCCAACUAAGUCAGACGUGAAAUCCCUCGGCUUAACCGGGGAACUGCGUCUGAUACUGGAUGGCUUGAAUCCGGGAGAGGGAUGCGGAAUUCCAGGUGUAGCGGUGAAAUGCGUAGAUAUCUGGAGGAACACCGGUGGCGAAGGCGGGUCUCUGGACGAGUUCCUGACACUGAGACACGAAGGCCAGGGGAGCAAACGGG
rnacentral:rRNA from 1 species